UCCCAAUUCCGUCCUUACUCCACAUGUGAAUGAUGAGAAGUGAGUUCACAUAACUCAAUACGAUAAAAAGCAAGUUGUAAGUGUAAUAUGCAGUGACAAGAAUUUCCAGAAAUGUCUAUAUGCAUUUAUCCUACCCAACCCCAAACAACUCAUAACCCUCCCCCUACACUAAUUAUCAAGGUCCUAUUCCAAGGAAAUAGCACGGCCAAACAACCCCACCCACCCAACAAUCAUCCAUUAACUCCCGUCACCAACAUCGGCGACUCAUACACUCUUCCCCCAUCUCCCGACCUCACGAGGCCAUACACACACACCCAACCACCUUCAUUCCACGUCACCAAUAUCGGCGACUCAUACCCAUAUCUCCACCUCUCGACCUAAUAGGCCACGCACACACCCACACACCAUUAUUCCGCGUCACCAACAUCGGCGACUCACACUCACUCCUCCACCUCUCGACCUAAAGAGGCCACACACACACACAAAUACCAUCGUCUCGCGUCACCAACAUCGGCGACUCAUACUCACUCCUCCACCUCUCGACCUAAAGAGGCCACACACACACACAAAUACCAUCGUCUCGCGUCACCAACAUCGGCGACUCAUACUCACUCCUCCAUCUCUCGACCUCGUUGGGCCACGCACACACACAAACAUUUCCACCUCCCGUCACCACCAUCCGUGACUCAUGCACCCUUCUACCCCUCUCGGCCUUGCUAGGCCACACUCACAUACAUAUCCCCUCCCUGCUCCACCAACAUCGGCAACUCAACCCGCCCCUACCAACAGCCUCCAAAUCUCCCCUCCCAAACCGCAUGCUCCCAUCUCCCCUUAUACCAUGCUAGUCCCAAGCAUUCUAACUUGCUAACUCCUACUGACCACAUUACUCCUCUUCUCCCAUCCAAUCCCCCUCAAAUCCUGUUUCCUAGUCCCCUCUGCCGUACCUUCCAGCUCCCUUCCCUCUCCCACUGCCCCCUACCCGCUACCUCCCCCAUCCUCCUGCCUCCUCCCGGUU
rnacentral:lncRNA from 1 species